rnacentral:rRNA from 1 species
UACGGAGGGAGCUAGCGUUGUUCGGAAUUACUGGGCGUAAAGCGCACGUAGGCGGCUUUGUAAGUUAGAGGUGAAAGCCUGGGGCUCAACUCCAGAACUGCCUUUAAAACUGCAUCGCUUGAAUCCAGGAGAGGUGAGUGGAAUUCCGAGUGUAGAGGUGAAAUUCGUAGAUAUUCGGAAGAACACCAGUGGCGAAGGCGGCUCUCUGGGACGGUACUGACGCUGAGACGCGAAAGCGUGGGGAGCGAACAGG